AGCGAACGCUAGCGGCGGGCCUAACACAUGCAAGUCGAGCGCAUACCUUCGGGUAUGAGCGGCGGACGGGUGAGUAACGCGUAGGUCAUCUACCCUUUGGUGGGGGAUAACCCAGGGAAACUUGGGCUAAUACCGCACGAGGUCUACGGAUCAAAGCCUUCGGGCGCCAGAGGAUGAGCCUGCGUCGCAUUACCUAGUUGGCGGGGUAACGGCCCACCAAGGGGACGAUGCGUAGCUGGUCUGAGAGGAUGAUCAGCCACACUGGGACUGAGACACGGCCCAGACUCCUACGGGAGGCAGCAGUGGGGAAUAUUGCGCAAUGGGGGGAAACCCGUGACGCAGCCACGCCGCGUGGGUGAUGAAGGCCUUCGG
rnacentral:rRNA from 1 species